CAAGUUAACGUAGGUGGUACUGUAAGAACCUUAUAUC
rnacentral:sRNA from 1 species